GAAGUGCGAUAAGCAAUGCGAAUUGCAGAACCGUGAGUCAUCAGAUUUUUGAACGCAACUGGCGCUAAUUGGCUCUCCAAUUAGCAUACUUGUUUCAGUGUCUUUUUAUCUCAUCACCCAAAUCAUAAUGCGAGAGAUACCCUUCUCUUGCUAAACAUGAAAGCACUCUACGCUCUGCGAGCGGCUUCGAUUCGUCGAGGGUCGCACUCAAUGCAGCAGUCACAUUGCUCACAAUGUGAACUCAUUGAGAGCUGAGGUAGUGCAGCCUAGCUGCUAGUGCUUAGUCACUCAAACUUUACUUGCAUCUGAAAUCAAGCAGGACCACCCGCUGAACUUAA
rnacentral:misc_RNA from 1 species